UGUUGUCUUCGGGCAACCAGCCAAUGCCUCAGCACUCCGUGAGAGGCGCCUUCGGGUGAGUGCCAGCCAAUGUUUCAUGUGACCUGUGAGAAACGCCUUCGGGUGGUCAUGAAUAGCCUCGUAGCCUGAAAGAGGAAGCCCAUGUGGCGGUAACGUC
rnacentral:sRNA from 1 species